AUGUACAUUUCUGCAAUGUUAAUGCACUAGAUCCCAUCAAAACUUCAUAGUUAAGCACACUUGGGAUAGAGUAAUAAUGGGAUGGGUUACCUCCUGGGAAGUCCUAGUGUUUUACAUU
rfam:Picea glauca, whole genome shotgun sequence.